AGCGCAGACGGUUAUUUAAGCAAGAUGUGAAAGCCCCGGGCUCAACCUGGGAACUGCGUUUUGAACUGGGUAACUAGAGUGUGUCAGAGGGGGGUAGAAUUCCACGUGUAGCAGUGAAAUGCGUAGAGAUGUGGAGGAAUACCGAUGGCGAAGGCAGCCCCCUGGGAUAACACUGACGUUCAUGCUCGAAAGCGUGGGGAGCGAACA
rnacentral:rRNA from 1 species